CUCCUACGGGGCGCAGCAGUGAGGAAUAUUGGUCAAUGGUCGGGAGACUGAACCAGCCAAGCCGCGUGAGGGAUGAAGGUACAGAGUAUCGUAAACCUCUUUUGUCAGGGAACAAAGGCGGGGACGUGUCCCCGGAUGAGUGUACCUGAAGAAAAAGCAUCGGCUAACUCCGUGCCAGCAGCCGCGGUAAUACGUAGGUGGCAAGCGUUAUCCGGAUUUACUGGGUGUAAAGGGCGUGUAGGCGGGGAAGCAAGUCAGAUGUGAAAACC
rnacentral:rRNA from 1 species